AUAGACAGACAACAGAGAGGGUAGGUCAUCGUGUAGUAGUAGAAACGUCGCUUGAAUCGAAACACUGCUGCCUGGUGAGACGAAGACGAACGAUAUCGACGACGAGGACACACAACAUCGAUAGAAACGAAUCGAGUUUAAACGUCGAAGAAUUAAGAGUGUGCGAGAGAAGGACAGAGAAAGCGAAAGGGGUACACGACCGUCGGUUAUGUUCCAUUGGAAAAAAGAAGAAGAAGAGACUGAGCUAAUGUCUUAGGAUAGAAGAAAACAACAGCAUUUUAUAAGUCAUACCAAUGACGUAAGAUUUGAAAUAACUUACGGAACAAAGCUAGAGGAGAAAAAAAAUUUCGAAAGAUAUUUCUCAUCAUUUUUCGGUGAAACUCGGAAACAAGGGUGAGAAGACACGUGACGUAUUUCCGGAAGAAAGCACAAAAGGGAAACCUGGAAGGAGCGAAAAUGGGUGAGAAACGUGGUACGAAAGCUCUCGAGCUCUGGUGCAGACGAAUAACCGAGGGUUAUCCGGGUGUAAACGUACAGAACAUGACCACCUCCUGGCGAGAUGGACUUGCAUUUUGUGCCAUGAUUCAUCACUUUCGUCCCGACCUCAUCGAUUUCAACAGCCUUAACAAGGACGACGUCUACGGGAACAACGAGCUGGCAUUCAGAAUUGCCGAGCAACAUUUAGGAAUCCCCGCUCUUUUAGACGCCGAAGAUAUGGCUUCUUGUUCCGUGCCCGAUCGAUUAUCGAUUCUAACCUAUCUUUCGCAGUUCUAUCAAACCUUCAAAGGAUCAUCUCCUAGCCGUUUAGCGACGAACAGAACAGUCGAAACAACGGAAGAAAGAAUCGCCCCGGUUCCAGAAUCACCAAAAGCCAAGGUGGGGUCGCGUCUGGGAAUGCGUCGAGAUCCGUGCGCGUCGUGCGGACUUCCGGUGUUCCUUGCGGAGAAGCUGGUGAUCGGACACGCUGCUUACCACCGUACCUGUUUCCGUUGUGCCCGUUGUGGGCACCAAUUGAUGCCUGACAAUUAUUACGAGACCGAGGAGGGCCAGUAUUGCUGCGAGACCUGUCCCGACGAGGAAAGAACCUUUUUGUCGACGUCGACCUCGUCGUCGUUGUCUUUAUUGGCGAAUCGUCGUUUAGACAAUUUUAGCGACAAAAGUAACGGAGAACAAGAAGACGAAGAGGAGGAGGAGGAGGAGGAGGAGGAGGAGGAAAAAGAAGAAGAAGAGGUAGAAGUCGAAGGAGAAGAGGUUGUUGUUGAACAGGUUGAAGAAGUCGAAGAAAAAGCGAAAAUGGCGGACAUAGUGGAUAACCGAGUUUCCGGUUACGGCCACCGAAGGUCUCUCAAUGACGAAGAAAAAACUGAACGGAAAAUGGUAUUAGAAUUAAAGGACGAUGAGGAAGUCGUUCUUGCUAGGAAACGAUCGGUAGACGCACAGAUACCAGAUUUGAUAUCGCAGACCUCGCGAAUGAGGCUCGACUUUAUGGCGAGUCAAUUAUUCUCGGAGAAAAAUGUGGAGAACAGAGAGAAUGUUAAUGAUAAUAAUGAUGAUGAUAAUGAUAGAACUAUGAAGAAGAUAUUUUCUGGAGAAAAUAAUGAAGAAUUAAGGGAGGAAAAUGAUGAUGAGAAGGAGGAGGAGGAGGAGAAAAAUAAGAAGAAGAAGAAGGAAGACCUUCGUACGGAGGAAUCGACGAAUCUCGAUGACCGACCUCGACCAAGAUCGUCGAGUAUCGUAGAUACCAAGAAUUCCAAAGAGGAAGCCAACCUGCUUCCAAAAUCGGAGUCAAUUAUUAUUACUCAUUCGAAUUGCUCGGCGACGACACCUUCGCAAGAUGAAACGACGCUUUCGCUAAGCGAUUCGAAUAAAGUUCAAAUACCGUCCCCGCCUGUUAGAGCACACAGGAGGAACAAUGUGCCAAAGGAGGAAAUCGUUAAGAGUCCCAUAAGCGAGAGUAGUACCGAGUAUAGGGAUGAUAGUAGAAUCCAAGAUUCUGUAGUUGAUGAAUCUGUUGACAGCGUUAUUUUCUUAACUGCUCGCGGAAAUGAUCCUUCCACCAGUGAACAAUAUCCGGAAGAAUUAAAUCCUUUUAAAAGCGACGAAGAAAAUGAGGAAGAAUAUCACAGUGUUUCGAAUGCCGCUCAAGAUAUUAGCAAGAUCUCGACGAAUCCUUUUGACGAUGAUGUUGCUAAUGAAGAGGAGGAUGAAGAUAAAAUAGAGAAAGAGGUGCUUCCUUUGCCAGCAUCGAAACCAACUGUUUUACCAGCCAAACGGCGUUUGACUGCACCACAGAUCAGUCUCAACCCGUUCUCCAGUGACGAGGAAGAUGAACAUGAAAGCGAUACGGAAAUCAAACGAAGGCUCGUGGUACCUGGUACAGUACCUAUACCUAGGCCACGUACCAUCACAAGUACAACCGAGUUAGGAUUGACUCUACGUAAAUCGGAGCUAAAUCGUAAAAGCGUUUAUGCAUCAAACAGUUCCAUAACUAGUUCGGAAUCAACCUCUACGCCAGGUGGAACGUAUAGAAAGAAAAAACCAGCACCGUUGCCACCGACGGCCAAAGAACUGUUCCCUUCCCCCGGCUAUCGCAGCGUGUCUCCCCGUACUACACCACGAACACGUAAGGCGAAGCCAGCUCCUCCUCCACCUAUAGCUACGAGCACUCCUAAUGAAUCAGUCAAUGCUCCGUUGCUUCUUGAAGAAUCAGCGAUAAUUCAAGCCGAUGAUAUCGCCGAUACUCGUGUUAAUAUGUGGGAAGAUCAGAAAAAUAACAAGGACGAAGCUAAUAGAAAUAGGCAGAGCUUGACUAGCGUUUCUUGCGUAGAAAGUUCACAAUUUAAAUCUUAUCCGGAUAAAAGUGUUCAAGGAAAGUGGAAGAGGAAGAAGGGUCCGGCGCCACCGCGUCCAACACCGCAUCGAAGAAAAAUCAAAGUUAUGUCAAUGAAAGAUGUCAAAUUAGAAUUGGAUGAAAUAGAAUUACAGCAGCAAGGGUUAGAAAGACAGGGUGUACGUUUGGAACAAUUAAUUAGAGAUAAAUGUGAAACUGGACCUCGAGCCGAUGAAUCUUCUCUCAGUAUGGAUGUCGAAGAAUUAAUUUUGGAAUUAUUUGCUUUGGUAAAUGAAAAGAAUGAAUUAUUUAGGAGGCAGGCCGAAUUAAUGUUACUUCGUAGGCAACAAAGAUUGGAAGAGGAGCAUGCUGAUGUUGAAUAUCAAAUACGUUGUCUUAUGUGCCAACCGGAAGCUACAAAAACCGAUUUUGAUAAACAGAGAGAAGAAGCUUUAAUACAAAGGUUGGUAGAAAUCGUAGAAAGGCGAAACGAAAUAGUAGAAUGUUUAGAAAUGGAUCGUAAAAGAGCAGUUGAGGAAGAUAAAAGUAUUAACAAACAUAUGGGAUUAUUUGCUGCUAGAAACAAAAGCGACGCUACCAAUAGUAACAAUGAUUAUUCUCCUAAUUCGACUAAAACGAAAAAAAGUAAGAUAAAGGAGAAAAUCAAAGAGAAGAAGUUUAAAAAAUUAUCUAAAAAAGAUGCCGAUAAGGACGUGGAUGAGACUGAAGUGAAACUCAAACGCCAUAACAAGCGGAAAUGGUUUUGAGUUUAUUUACAAAUAUUAACUGUUAAAUAUUACUAGCUAUAUUAAAAAAUAGCAAAUAAGUCAGUUAUCGUUUAAUACUUUUAUAAAUAUUUUUAACGCAAGAUUUGUUAUUUAUAUAAAUAGGAAAGAUUACCAUUAAAAAAACACUAGGAGUAAAUCUAAUUAAUGGUUUAAUAACAAAUAAAUAUAUAUAUAUAUACAUAUAUAUAUAUAUAUAUAUAUAUUUCUUACUUGAUCGCUAUGAUAAGGAGACGAACGUGAUAUUCGAGCGUUAAAAUAUUUUUUUCGUACACACUUUCAUUCGAUUCAAUUGUAAUUUUUUUUAUAUACCUUCAGUAUCUUUACAGGUGCAUGAUUCGAUUCGAUUGAAAUUGUUUGUUCUGGUAUGUCACAUUCCAGUGUCUUCGUUACGAAUAGUCGCGGCAAUGAUGGCAUAAUUAUUAGACGUUAAGAAACUAUUUAAUCCAAUAAUUAACGAAUAAAACGAAGUGCUUUCGUAAA
rnacentral:misc_RNA from 1 species